rnacentral:rRNA from 1 species
GAUGAACGCUAGCUACAGGCUUAACACAUGCAAGUCGAGGGGCAGCGGGAUUGAAGCUUGCUUCAAUUGCCGGCGACCGGCGCACGGGUGAGUAACGCGUAUCCAACCUUCCGUACACUCAGGGAUAGCCUUUCGAAAGAAAGAUUAAUACCUGAUGGUAUGAUGAGAUUGCAUGAUAGCAUCAUUAAAGAUUUAUCGGUGUACGAUGGGGAUGCGUUCCAUUAGGUAGUAGGCGGGGUAACGGCCCACCUAGCCGACGAUGGAUAGGGGUUCUGAGAGGAAGGUCCCCCACAUUGGAACUGAGACACGGUCCAAACUCCUACGGGAGGCAGCAGUGAGGAAUAUUGGUCAAUGGACGAGAGUCUGAACCAGCCAAGUAGCGUGCAGGAUGACGGCCCUAUGGGUUGUAAACUGUUUUUAUAAGGGAAUAAAGUGAGUCUCGUGAGGCUUUUUGCAUGUACCUUAUGAAUAAGGACCGGCUAAUUCCGUGCCAGCAG